rnacentral:rRNA from 1 species
AUUGAACGCUGGCGGCAGGCCUAACACAUGCAAGUCGAACGGUAACAGGAAGAAGCUUGCUUCUUUGCUGACGAGUGGCGGACGGGUGAGUAAUGUCUGGGAAACUGCCUGAUGGAGGGGGAUAACUACUGGAAACGGUAGCUAAUACCGCAUAACGUCGCAAGACCAAAGAGGGGGACCUUCGGGCCUCUUGCCAUCGGAUGUGCCCAGAUGGGAUUAGCUAGUAGGUGGGGUAACGGCUCACCUAGGCGACGAUCCCUAGCUGGUCUGAGAGGAUGACCAGCCACACUGGAACUGAGACACGGUCCAGACUCCUACGGGAGGCAGCAGUGGGGAAUAUUGCACAAUGGGCGCAAGCCUGAUGCAGCCAUGCCGCGUGUAUGAAGAAGGCCUUCGGGUUGUAAAGUACUUUCAGCGGGGAGGAAGGGAGUAAAGUUAAUACCUUUGCUCAUUGACGUUACCCGCAGAAUAAGCACCGGCUAACUCCGUGCCAGCAGCCGCGGUAAUACAGAGGGUGCAAGCGUUAAUCGGAAUUACUGGGCGUAAAGCGCACGCAGGCGGUUUGUUAAGUCAGAUGUGAAAUCCCCGGGCUCAACCUGGGAACUGCAUCUGAUACUGGCAAGCUUGAGUCUCGUAGAGGGGGGUAGAAUUCCAGGUGUAGCGGUGAAAUGCGUAGAGAUCUGGAGGAAUACCGGUGGCGAAGGCGGCCCCCUGGACGAAGACUGACGCUCAGGUGCGAAAGCGUGGGGAGCAAACAGGAUUAGAUACCCUGGUAGUCCACGCCGUAAACGAUGUCGACUUGGAGGUUGUGCCCUUGAGGCGUGGCUUCCGGAGCUAACGCGUUAAGUCGACCGCCUGGGGAGUACGGCCGCAAGGUUAAAACUCAAAUGAAUUGACGGGGGCCCGCACAAGCGGUGGAGCAUGUGGUUUAAUUCGAUGCAACGCGAAGAACCUUACCUGGUCUUGACAUCCACGGAAGUUUUCAGAGAUGAGAAUGUGCCUUCGGGAACCGUGAGACAGGUGCUGCAUGGCUGUCGUCAGCUCGUGUUGUGAAAUGUUGGGUUAAGUCCCGCAACGAGCGCAACCCUUAUCCUUUGUUGCCAGCGGUCCGGCCGGGAACUCAAAGGAGACUGUUAGUGAUAAACUGGAGGAAGGUGGGGAUGACGUCAAGUCAUCAUGGCCCUUACGACCAGGGCUACACACGUGCUACAAUGGCGCAUACAAAGAGAAGCGACCUCGCGAGAGCAAGCGGACCUCAUAAAGUGCGUCGUAGUCCGGAUUGGAGUCUGCAACUCGACUCCAUGAAGUCGGAAUCGCUAGUAAUCGUGGAUCAGAAUGCCACGGUGAAUACGUUCCCGGGCCU